rnacentral:miRNA from 1 species
CCCCUCGGCUGCUACAUUGUAU